rnacentral:rRNA from 1 species
UACGGAGGGUGCAAGCGUUAUCCGGAUUCACUGGGUUUAAAGGGUGCGUAGGCGGGUAUAUAAGUCAGUGGUGAAAGCUCCGAGCUUAACUUGGAAACUGCCAUUGAUACUGUAUAUCUUGAAUAUCGUAGAGGUUAGCGGAAUGUUGCAUGUAGCGGUGAAAUGCUUAGAUAUGUUACAGAACACCAAUUGCGAAGGCAGCUAACUAUGCGACAAUUGACGCUGAGGCACGAAAGCGUGGGGAGCAAAC